GGUGAACGCUGGCGGCGUGCCUAACACAUGCAAGUCGAGCGGUGCAGUUUGAAGCUUCGGUGGAAAGCUGCAUAGCGGCGGACGGGUGAGGAAAAACGUAGGAACGUGCCCCUUGGAGUUGGAUAGCCACGGGAAACUGUGGGUAAACCGACAUAGACUCGAGAGAGUAAAGGCCGAAAGGCGCCAAGGGAGCGGCCUGCGGCCCAUCAGGUAGUUGGUAGUGUAAAGGACUACCAAGCCGACGACGGGUAGCCGGUCUGAGAGGAUGGCCGGCCACAAGGGCACUGAGAGACGGGCCCUACUCCUACGGGAGGCAGCAGUAGGGAAUAUUGGACAAUGGGCGCAAGCCUGAUCCAGCCAUGCCGCGUGAGUGAAGAAGGCCCUCGGGUUGUAAAACUCUGUCCUUGGUGACGAAGGAAGUGACGGUAACCAAGGAGGAACGCCCGGCUAACUACGUGCCAGCAGCCGACGGUAAACUAGUCUACG
rnacentral:rRNA from 1 species